GUCCACGCUGUAAACGGUGGGUACUAGGUGUGGGGUCCAUUCCACGGGUUCCGUGCCGUAGCUAACGCUUUAAGUACCCCGCCUGGGGAGUACGGCCGCAAGGCUAAAACUCAAAGGAAUUGACGGGGCCCCGCACAAGCGGCGGAGCAUGCGGAUUAAUUCGAUGCAACGCGUAGAACCUUACCUGGGUUUGACAUGGAUCGGGAGUGCUCAGAGAUGGGUGUGCCUCUUUUGGGGUCGGUUCACAGGUGGUGCAUGGCG
rnacentral:rRNA from 1 species